UAGAGCCAGCRACUUUCUGAAGGUAAAUUUCUCCUUUCCUGCGAGAUGCGUUUAGUGUGGCUAAUGCAUAACUCUGACAACAUCCCCAGYGGUCCUUUGGGUCAGGCACCGCGCUGGGGUUUGGGUCAGCCAGGUGUUUAAAUGCAGAAAUCCCAGGAACCGGCCACCGCAGAAACUGAGAACGUGGAGAACACGGCAGGAAAGGUCUAAAGUAAGCGUAAUGUUGAUAAGUUUGGAGUACACUAUUAAAAAAGUACCACGUUCAAGGUAAGCAUCACGUAGGGAGAAGACACUGUUGCCUGCAUGCUGCUUGCUCAUUGAACCCCGAAGCCCUGGCUGGAAACGCUGGAGCUCUAUAUGUCGUAAAACUGGAGCUUGGGACAAACGUGMGGUUGGGGGCCAUGGCCACGCCGUGCUGGUACGGCUCAGGGUGAAAAGCACCUGGAGCAGGGGUGUGUGCCGCAUGCAACUCCAUGAGGAAAAACUCCAAAUUACCAUAAAGCAGAGAAAAUAUUUUGAAAUUGCUUAUCCUUCCAGGAGAAAUAUUUUUGUAAGAAUGCAACUAAAAUGAAUGCAAGUGUGGUGAGAGGGCCCGUCAAUGAGGAGCAUGCACACUGACAGACACAAAUGCUAGCAUUUAUAAAAAUAUAYGGAAAGUACCAGCCUGCUUGCAGUUUUAUGAAUCCAUGUGUCCAUGAAAUCAUUCAGUGCAUUUUGGUAACCACAAUAAUUUUCUUAAGCUUCAUCUCAAGUCCUGAAAAGGCAAUUCUUCUUUGCCCUGAGUCACCAGCUGCGUCAGAUGGUGUGUCCGCACUGCACUAUGGCAAGGAUGGUCCUCCCAUUUUGCCUUCUUCUGAUGGCUGCAAAUAAACACAGGCACUGCUGCGUGUGUAAGGAACUUCUUAGAACUGACAAAUAACUCAAAAUGUUUUAUGUUAAUUAAAUAUGCUCCUUCCAGAUGGUAUGUGGGAUCUGGCCUGGAGGUUUUGUUGGGAAACUCUCUAUGAGCAGCUGAMCUGGUUUGGGGUGGGAAUGUGAGCUGGAACUGUCCUCCUCAGCUGCAAUGGUCGUUGCUCUGUCUUUCCCAAUGAACCUCAAGGAUGGUGGAACAGCUUGAAUAAAUACAACGCAAGAGAUUUUUAAAGAUGACA
rnacentral:lncRNA from 1 species